UCGUUUCACACUGAAAAAGAAAGAAAGGAAUGAAAAUGAAAAGAAUCCGGGCACUGGUGGCACAUGCCUUUAAUCCCAGCACUUGGGAGGCAGAGGCAGGUGGAUUUCUGGGUUUGAGGCCAGCCUGGUCUACAAAGUGAGUUCCAGGACAGCCAGGACUAGACAAAGAAACCCUGUCUCGGAAAAAAAAAAAAAAGACUAUGUGUCCGUCAGCCAGCUGUUUCCACACAUGCUAUAUGCUGCAAGUGUACCCCCAGAUGGACACACGCUUUAUGCUGCAAAUGUACCCCCAGAUGGACACACGCUUUAUGCUGCAAAUGUACCCCUUGGACAGAGCUAGUUCCUACUCUGAGCUGGCUGCUUUUUUCUAGGUGUGCACACUAAAUUCUAGAAAGCGUUACUUUCCGCUUCCUGACAGUUCUAACAGUCCACAGUAGAGUCAUCUCUGCUCUUGCCUUGGUGAGCCACCAGGUGACUUUAAUAAUCAGUUCCCACAGGCCAGGGUUUACCCACACCGGAAAAUUGGCUUGGUCUACUUGCUAAACAGGAUACGGAAUACGCUAUUGGCAGAGGCUUACAGAAGUUUGUUCAGUGAUAGCUCGUUACCCAGUGAUUUGGAAGAACAUCAAGUCAUUUAAGAUGUAGGACUCUCAGCUCCUCCAGCCCGUGCCUGCC
rnacentral:lncRNA from 1 species